UCCCACCUCCCUCCCUUGAGCCAGUAGCUCCUCCCACUUCCCGUGGUUUUCGGUUGAACCGAAACCUGGCCGUUGGCUGAGCGAGCGCGGGGUGUUUGGGAUGCGGCACGGCGAGGGGGAGCAGGCUUGGCUCGGGCGUAGGGAAUUGGUUUUUUUGUUUUAGCUAUCCAGGUUGUGACUGGUUUACAUAAUUACACGAUUAAGCCAUCAUUGUAGGAAAGGCUUUGCAGGAGAAAAAUGUCUUAACUGGAGGUCUUUGAGACAGAAAAACCCUGCCUCAGCCCUUGGGUCCUGAGAGUCGCGUUUCUUCUCCCCUUCGCUUAAAUAUGUAAACCAGAAUCAUUAUGUUUGGUUCAUGGAACGGAGGAAAAAAAUCCGUGUGCAGGGUCGAGACUGUCGUGGCGGAAGCCGCAGCACCCGGGAGGCAGGUGGGGAGAAAAAACGGGACCUGCUGCCGGGGACCCCUCCCGCUUUCUGGCAGUUUUCUAUUCAGCGUCCUCGGCUGUGAGAAAACAUCCCAGAUGCUGAAACCAAUAGUCUUAGCCCAGAAUCUCAAACGCCGUGGCAAAGAGGGAGUGACGACGGCCUGUGGAAAAACCUGAGGAGUUUUGGGCUUAGCGCCUUCAUGUAGAGGGGACGUGGAGGCGGGGAGGGCGUUCUAGGGUCGGCUGCGUAAUUAUACGAGGCACUGGAAAGUGAUGGGUUAGUGUCCUUGGAGUAGACCCCUGGGUUUUAUUGAACUGAUCUGAAAGGCUGGGCCCUGAGCCACACAGGGGACCUGUCAAACAGCUUCAAGCGGAAGAUGGGGCUCACGGGACUGGACUCUCUCUGCAGCCAGCUGUAAUUAACACAAAAGCAGAAGAGUUUGGGUAGAUUAUAGAAUGCCAGCUUUGAACAUCUUUUGGGGGACAGGGCACUCUGGGAGACCAAGUUCUUAGACACCAUAAAAUCAAAAAUAGACACCUCUUUGUAGAGGAGUCCAGAUGUCUAAAGAGGAAAUAUGUAAUAGGCUGAUGUUUCUUUUGUUUUUUGUUUGUUUGUUUUUUGAAAAGUUAAAAUACUAAGUUUAUAAAGUGAAAAAGUUACAGUAAGCUAAGGUUGACUUAUUGGAAAAAAUGUGCUUAUACUAUGGAAUGAGACCACCACUUCUCCUGUUGUCCCUCCCAGCUUCUUCUCCACCACCUCCCCUUUUCCCUAGUUUAUAAGACAGGAGAAAAGUGAGACAGCAAAAAGUUAGAAAGAAACAGAAGUAAGAUAAAUAGCUAGACGACCUUGGCGCCACCACCCGGCCUUGGUGGUUAAAAUAAUAAUAAUAAUGUUAACCCCUGACCAAAACUACUUGUGUUAUCUGUAAGUUCCAGACAUUGUAUGAGAAAGCGCUGUAAAACUUUUUGUUCUGUUAGCCGAUGCAUGUAGCCCCCAGUCACGUUCCCCACGCUUGCUCCAUCUAUCACAACCGUUUCACAUGGACCCCCCCCUUCAAGUUGUAAGCCCUUAAAAGGGCUAGGAAUUUCUUUUUUGGGGAGCUCGGCUUUUAAGAUGCGAGUCUGCCAACGCUCUCGGCCGAAUAAACUUCUUCCUUCUUUAAUCCAGUGUCAGGAGUUUUGUCUGCGGCUCGUCCUGCUACAAUAUGUAUAUCAAGGGUUUCUUGUUGGUGUCUGACACAGACACAGAACCACUGAUGCCCAAGCCAGUGCUCUCUACACACAGAAGCCUCCAACCUCAUCUUGAGAAACGGGGCCAUGAGGCCACCCCAGACACCGAGGGCUCCAUGGAGGCUGGGGGGUCCGUGGGACUGGGCACAUCCCAGCGGGUCUUGGAUCCUGGCCUUUCCCCUUCUUGAUGCCAGGACCUACUGAGUGCUCGCAGGUGUGCAAUGCUGGGCUGCGGGUGCUGCUUGUGUGGCAAGAAGCCUCGGGGUGCCUCCCUCCUUCUCACACCUUUCCCAGGAGGCAUGAAACGGGGAUUCAUGAUCAACCCCGGUGGCUGCUCAUGUUGAACUGGUGAAGCUCCCUCCCUGUUGUCUUCUGGGGACAUGGAGGGCAGGGCUGGAUCCCCUCAAAUGAGCUUAAGUGGCACUGCGGACAAGAACGCGCUGCAUGGCCCUCGGAAUCCUGCAUGUGGUAGCCUGACCGGCACCUCAGCCCCUCCCUCAUUAAAGCAGCCUAUGGAGGGCUCAGCCCAGUGGGCUCAGGGGCUGCUAUGGAGAGGGUGUCUGUUCCCUGGAGGAUAUUCUCAGGGCUCCUUCACUUGCCCUUAGAGAUUUCCACCAUGAAAUACAAAGGCCACAACAGAUCAGGAAAAGGAAACCUGGACACAGGCACGUAUGAGGGAAGACAAUGUGGAGAGGCAAGGAGAAGAUGGCCACCUGCAAGCCAAGGAGAGAGGCCUGGAACACACUCUUACUUCAUGGCCCUCAGAAGGAGGCCACCCUGUCAACACCUUGAGCUCAGACUUCAGCCUCCAGAGCUGUGAAAAAAGAAAUUUUUGUUGUUUAAGCCCCUCAGUUUGGGGUAAUUUCUUAUGGUGGCCCUAGCCAAUGAAUACAGGUCCCAAAUAACUCUUC
rnacentral:lncRNA from 1 species